rnacentral:lncRNA from 1 species
AAAUAUUCAGUGAAAUAUACCAAAUGUCUGAAUCAAAUACUGAGAUCUCCUUACCUCUUGCUUCUGUACAAGCUUUAGGAUCAAUAUUUAAAAUGAUCACAGGUGGCUAUAUUUAGCAGUAAACUCCACAGGAAAGGAAAGCUCUGCAUUCUGUGCAAAAGCAUGGAGAAUGGAUCGCAAUCUGGCACCGACCUUAUCCAGCAUGGGUCACUUCUACUCAGGUCCCCACCAGAGUGGAGCAGGUGCCAUCUGCCUCAAGCCCAGUGGGCAGCGCCGACCGGAGCAGGAGCCAGAGUAGGAGAGCUGCCUCCGCAGCGCAAUCCUCCUCUGUCAGCACCAACUGGGCUGCGACACCUCAGACGCCUGGAGCUCACACUCGCAGAACCGGCUCCACCAGCAUGGCUCCUCCCACCAGCCUCGCAAAGGAAAAACAAAAAGACUGCUCCACAACUGAAAAUCCAGAAGGAAAUCCAUUUCCUGAGUAUAGACUCUUUCACCCACUUGCCAGGACAGGGAUCAGUACUUCACUCUCAGGGCCUGGAGGUGCUGCCUCUCCCCCACCAGAAACAUUCAUCAGCAGAAGCAAAAAUCCUUGGUAACUAUGUCAAGCUAACAUUCAACCAGUCUCAAACUGACUUUCUAAAACAUUCUUAUUAGUUUUCUGCAUAAAUGCAAUAUAUUCAAGAGAUUCAAUCCUUACACGAACACCACUAAACUGUGC